GUCCUUAUCAUAAGACAGGCCCCAGAAUCCUUUGUAUCUGUCUAGUUCGGGAGGUGCUUUUUCCUGAGCCUUCAGUGGAUCUCAGCAUUGUCUAUUUAUUCAGGAAUAUAGAUCUCAUUUGAGUUACCUAAGAAGUUUCUGAAUUGAGUGAUUAUGUAAUGUAGGGUGAGGUUUAUAGAUCUUAACUCACCUGCCAUGGCCAGCAACAUACUCUACACGCGAUAGGUAUUGAACCAAGAUUUACUUAUUUUUUAGUUGUAGAGUGCUUCUUUUGUUUCCUUCCACUCAAUAACUUUUCUCAAUGUCUUUUUCUUCUGGCUGUUUCUGAUACUCCCUAGUUAGUAUCCAGCUGGAUAUAAAAUGCUGUCCUUCUACCUCUAAAAACUGAGUUGGCUUACUAGGAAGGCAUUUUGGGCCCAGCUUUAGUGUAAAAGCCCUGCUUAUUUACCUUUGUCCCAAUGUCUUUGGACCCCCGAGUCGACCCCAUCUGUGUUGCAUGUGAAAGCCCAGGGGCCGGGCUGUGAAGCUGAGAAGAUGCUUAAUCCUGGACUUGUCUUCAAGAUUUCCAAACACCUAACUCAGGGAUCAUUUCUUUUAAGAGUGCUCAGUGAUCCAGGCACUUGACCCUACAGCCAAGAGAGAGGGAAGACUACUUACUGGUCUAGCUGGCAGCAGACCCUGGCCUCGUCCACAUGAUGCUUUUAGGUGCAUGCAGAAUGCAAGAGUUGUGGGGUCAGGAAGGCUUCCACUCAGAUUUCAGAAGGUCUGGGAGGCCAGGCAGGGUGCCCGUGAGAAGGCAGACUGUGAAGUUGUGAGUGUGAAAAGCCAAAGGUGCAGUGGAGACCCCAGAAGUUUGGGGAAGCCAGGAGUGUGGUUCAUCUGAGGAAAGCUGCAAGGAGGGAG
rnacentral:lncRNA from 1 species